AUGACUAUUUUCAUAUAUUCAUACACUUCCAAAGAGGUAUUAAGGCACUAUAUAAACUAUACAUUUUCAGAUUUGAAACAAGAGUAUGUGUUCUUGAACUUUCUUAAAGAAUUUUUCCGCAUGUGUUUCUAUAUUAUAUAUUCUAUCAUUAUAAAUUAUUUGUUUGAAGGGAAGAUCAAUUAUAUUAAUACAUCACUCAAAGUGAUAAUUGUUUCAUUUUCUUAA